UAUCUCUGUAGAGUCUGCAUAUCAAUAAGCGGAGGAAAAGAAACUAACUAGGAUUCCCUCAGUAACGGCAAGUGAAGCGGGAAGAGCUCAAAUUUGAAAUCUUCAAGGUUUUACCUUGACGAAUUGUAGUUUAAAGAGGUGUUUUCUGUUGGUGUUUUGGUAAAAGUUCUUUGGAAUAGGACAUCAUAGAGGGUGAGAAUCCCGUAUUUGACCAUUACUUCCAGCGUUGUGAUACACUUUCAAAGAGUCGGAUUGUUUGGGAAUGCAGUCCAAAAUGGGUGGUAAAUUUCAUCUAAAGCUAAAUAUUGGCGAGAGACCGACAGCGAACAAGUACCGUGAGGGAAAGAUGAAAAGAACUUUGAAAAGAGAGUUAAACAGUACGUGAAAUUGUCAAAAGGGAAGCGUUUGACACCAGUGUUGUUUUCUCGAAAAUCAAUUAAAAAGUAUGGGAUUUUGUAUUGUUAAGACCUUAUCAGCUUACGGUACUUUUUUCUUAUUCUUUUUAAUGCACUUUUCGUUUAACAAGUCAACAUCAAUUUCUUUUGUUGUAAAAGAGUCAUUGGAAGGUGGCUUUCACUUCGGUGAAAGUGUUUAUAGCCUUUGGCUUCUGCAAUCGGAGAGAUUGAGGUCUGCAGCGUAGAUCCUUCGGGGUUAGAUACGUAGAUGCUAAGUUAUAGUUUUUCAUAGACAACUUGUUGACUAUGAUUAAUCAUGUAGCUUACUCGUUUGCGCUAUUCUACCUACGCUUAGGAUGUUGAUCUCUCACAGUCGAGC
rnacentral:rRNA from 1 species